AGCGAACGCUGGCGGCGUGCUUAACACAUGCAAGUCGAGCGAUGAAGCUCCUUCGGGAGUGGAUUAGCGGCGGACGGGUGAGUAACACGUGGGUAACCUGCCUCAUAGAGGGGAAUAGCCUUCCGAAAGGAAGAUUAAUACCGCAUAAGAUUGUAGUACCGCAUGGUAUAGCAAUUAAAGGAGUAAUCCGCUAUGAGAUGGACCCGCGUCGCAUUAGCUAGUUGGUGAGGUAACGGCUCACCAAGGCGACGAUGCGUAGCCGACCUGAGAGGGUGAUCGGCCACAUUGGGACUGAGACACGGCCCAGACUCCUACGGGAGGCAGCAGUGGGGAAUAUUGCACAAUGGGGGAAACCCUGAUGCAGCAACGCCGCGUGAGUGAUGACGGUCUUCGGAUUGUAAAGCUCUGUCUUCAGGGACGAUAAUGACGGUACCUGAGGAGGAAGCCACGGCUAACUAGGUGCCAGCAGCCGCCGUAACAC
rnacentral:rRNA from 1 species